rnacentral:lncRNA from 1 species
CCCCUGCCUGCCUCUUCCUUUUCUCUGCCUCCUGCUCCUUGUUCCCCGGCUCCCACAAAAGCUGGUGGUGCGAUCACACCGUAGAACACAGACAGAACUUAACCUAUUUGGAGGCGCAGAAGAAACAGAGCAGGAUUUUGCCUUUUGAAUAUACUGGGAAGAAAAGAAGCGCUCAGAGCCCAGUAAAAGCUGAACAUUACCAAGUCUUUUUCAACACUGAAAUUAGGUCCCGUGAGCACGAGGCCCACCUAGCAGCCGGGAUUGUUACGCAGCAGCAUCUAAAUGGGAGAUGAACAGUCCUAGCCACAUGCUGGUUUGGAGGCAGUUUCCUGCAAAACGACGCUGUAAAUCCAGGUGAACACUUGUUAAACACACAGUUAUGCACCCACAGAGCUGGACUGAAAUCACAUAACCAGACAAGACACAUGGUGGGCAUCGUUUCUCGGGAUUAAUAAUAUGGCUAUAAAAGAACACACAUACUCAUGAUAAAAACUUUGCAGCACCCAAGUGUGAAGUGCAAAAUAAAUGUCCUCCUCUCCAUCUAAUCCCUAUGUUCUCUUCCCCAGAAGAUACCAAUUUCUCCAUUCUUUGUGUACCCUUCCAUAGAUACUCUAUAUAUUUAGGCAU